rnacentral:rRNA from 1 species
UACGUAGGGCGCAAGCGUUGUCCGGAUUCACUGGGUGUAAAGGGUGCGCAGGCGGAUUGGCAAGUCAGAGGUGAAAUCUCACGGCUCAACCGUGAAACUGCCUUUGAUACUGCUUAUCUUGAGUUCGGGAGAGGUUGAUGGAAUUCCAGGUGUAGCGGUGAAAUGCGUAGAUAUCUGGAAGAACACCAGUGGCGAAGGCGGUCAACUGGCCCGUAACUGACGCUCAGGCACGAAAGCGUGGGGAUCAAACAGG